rnacentral:rRNA from 1 species
GACAGAGGGUGCAAACGUUGCUCGGAAUUACUGGGCGUAAAGGGCGUGUAGGCGGGCAGGUAAGUCGGGCAUGAAAUCCCUGGGCUCAACCCAGGAACUGCACUCGAAACUACUUGUCUUGAGUACCGGAGAGGAAAGCGGAAUUCCUGGUGUAGAGGUGAAAUUCGUAGAUAUCAGGAGGAACACCAGUGGCGAAGGCGGCUUUCUGGACGGUAACUGACGCUGAGACGCGAAAGCGUGGGGAGCAAACAGG